rnacentral:rRNA from 1 species
AGCUACACAUGCAAGUCGAGCGGUAACAGGGGGUGCUUGCACCCCGCUGACGAGCGGCGGACGGGUGAGUAAUGCAUAGGAAUCUGCCCAGUAGUGGGGGAUAGCCCGGGGAAACCCGGAUUAAUACCGCAUACGCCCUUUGGGGGAAAGCAGGGGAUCUUCGGACCUUGCGCUAUUGGAUGAGCCUAUGUCGGAUUAGCUAGUUGGUGGGGUAAAGGCCUACCAAGGCGACGAUCCGUAGCUGGUCUGAGAGGAUGAUCAGCCACAUCGGGACUGAGACACGGCCCGAACUCCUACGGGAGGCAGCAGUGGGGAAUAUUGGACAAUGGGGGCAACCCUGAUCCAGCCAUGCCGCGUGUGUGAAGAAGGCUUUCGGGUUGUAAAGCACUUUCAGUGAGGAGGAAAACCUUCUGGUUAAUACCCAUGAGGCUUGACGUUACUCACAGAAGAAGCACCGGCUAACUCCGUGCCAGCAGCCGCGGUAAUACGGAGGGUGCAAGCGUUAAUCGGAAUUACUGGGCGUAAAGCGCGCGUAGGUGGUUUGAUAAGCGAGAUGUGAAAGCCCCGGGCUUAACCUGGGAACGGCAUUUCGAACUGUCAGGCUAGAGUG